AUUCCAUGAUGGGGACAAUCAUUGAUGUAUCCUUGCAAACGCUCCCAUGCUUCUGAAAUGGUUUCUGUCUUCUUUAUUAACAUAGAACCACAGCUUCGCUCUUCCCAUUAGUGAGAAU
rnacentral:snoRNA from 1 species